rnacentral:lncRNA from 1 species
AAAAGAGCCAGAGAGAGUUGUUGGUAGAGUCGGUCCUCAUAUUGAUUUUCCUAUGUAAAAUAAUACUAGUAUAUAUUAUCAUAUAAUUAUAAAAAUGAUAUUAUAUAUUUUUAUUGUUUUCAGCGUCGAUCUUAAUCUUCUAUGCCACACAAAAUCUUACACGUGAAUACCUCUGCAGCAGCACCUUCAUAUUUGAGAUGGAGAAAGACAACAUUAUGUGCAUCACCUCCAGUAGAAUGUCAUCUUUAUGUACAUAAUUAAUUUUAUGGCUAAGUUUGAUUGUUUAGAAGGCGAUACGUUAUAUAAAACUUCAAACUCUAAAU